rnacentral:rRNA from 1 species
GACGAACGCUGGCGGCGUGCUUAAUACAUGCAAGUCGAACGGAAAGGCCCUGCUUUUGUGGGGUGCUCGAGUGGCGAACGGGUGAGUAACACGUGAGUAACCUGCCCUUGACUUUGGGAUAACUUCAGGAAACUGGGGCUAAUACCGGAUAGGAGCUCCUGCUGCAUGGUGGGGGUUGGAAAGUUUCGGCGGUUGGGGAUGGACUCGCGGCUUAUCAGCUUGUUGGUGGGGUAGUGGCUUACCAAGGCUUUGACGGGUAGCCGGCCUGAGAGGGUGACCGGCCACAUGAGGACUGAGGGACGGACCAGAAGCCUACGGGAGGCAGCAGUGGAGAAUAUUGCGCAGUAAGCGGGAGCCUGAUGCAGCAGCGCCGCGUGCGGAAUAACGGCCUUCGAGUUGUAAACCGCUGUCGCCUGUGACGAAGCGUGAGUGACGGUAAUGAGUAAAGAAGCACCGGCUAACUACGUG